GAUGAAGAACGUAGUGAAAUGCGAUAAGUAAUGCGAAUUGCAGAAUUCCAGUGAGUCAUCGAAUCUUUGAACGCACAUUGCGCCCUUUGGCAUUCCGAAGGGCAUGCCUGUUCGAGCGUCAUUACAACCCUCAGGCCCCCGGGCCUGGCGUUGGGGAUCGGCGGAGCCCCCCGUGGGCACACGCCGUCCCCCAAAUACAGUGGCGGUCCCGCCGCAGCUUCCAUCGCGUAGUAGCUAACACCUCGCGACUGGAGAGCGGCGCGGCCACGCCGUAAAACACCCAACUCUUCUGAAGUUGACCUCGAAUCAGGUAGGAAUACCCGCUGAACUUAAGCAUAUCAAUAAGCGGAGGA
rnacentral:misc_RNA from 1 species